AUACUGCAAGUCGAGGGGCAGCACAGGUAGCAAUACUGGGUGGCGACCGGCAAACGGGUGCGGAACACGUACGCAACCUUCCUUCAAGCGGGGAAUAGCCCAGAGAAAUUUGGAUUAAUACCCCAUAAGAAUGUGGACUGGCAUCAGUCAGCAUUUAAAGAUUUAUCACUUGAAGAUGGGCGUGCGUCUGAUUAGGUAGUUGGUGAGGUAACGGCUCACCAAGCCGACGAUCAGUAACUGGCGUGAGAGCGCGACCAGUCACACGGGCACUGAGACACGGGCCCGACUCCUACGGGAGGCAGCAGUAAGGAAUAUUGGUCAAUGGACGGAAGUCUGAACCAGCCAUGCCGCGUGGAGGAUGAAGGCCCUCUGGGUUGUAAACUUCUUUUAUUUGGGACGAAACACUUCUUUUCUAAGGAGCUUGACGGUACCAGAUGAAUAAGCACCGGCUAACUCCGUGCCAGCAGCCGCGGUAAUACGGAGGGUGCAAGCGUUAUCCGGAUUCACUGGGUUUAAAGGGUGCGUAGGCGGACAUGUAAGUCCGUGGUGAAAUCUCUAAGCUUAACUUGGAAACUGCCAUGGAUACUAUAUGUCUUGAAUGUUGUGGAGGUUAGCGGAAUAUGUCAUGUAGCGGUGAAAUGCAUAGAUAUGACAUAGAACACCAAUUGCGAAGGCAGCUGGCUACACAAAUAUUGACGCUGAGGCACGAAAGCGUGGGGAUCAAACAGGAUUAGAUACCCUGGUAGUCCACGCCCUAAACGAUGAUUACUCGACAUACGCGAUACACAGUGUGUGUCUGAGCGAAAGCAUUAAGUAAUCCACCUGGGAAGUACGACCGCAG
rnacentral:rRNA from 1 species